rnacentral:lncRNA from 1 species
GCAUAACCCAAUGUGCAUGCUGAGGAGGCCUCACGCCAGUUUAGGCUCUCCAGUAUCUCCCACUGAGCUACUCUGUCCCCGACUUAGAGGACCAGGAGAAGGGGGAGCUGGAGGCUGGAGCCUGCCACACCGUGGCUCGUCUCACUCUGGAUGGUGGUGGCAACAGAGAUGGCAGUGUGGCUGGAGUUUUAGGAGGGCGGCCUGAGCCGUAGGAGGGGGCUGGAGCAGUAACAUGGCGGCCUGAGCGGUUUUUCUGGCAUUGUCUGCCCAGCUGCUCCAAGCCAGGCUGAUGAAGGAGGAGUCCCCUGUGGUGAGCUGGAGGUUGUAGCCUGAAGAUGGCACAGCUCUGUGAUUCAUCUCCUGCGGUUGUGGCGGCCACGGUGAUGGAGACUGCAGCUCAACAGGAGUGGUAGGAGGGUACCCGUGGAGGCCAAGUAGUAGGAGCCUUGGAGGGUGGGUAGGUGCAUGGAGGGUGACAGCAGCGCUGGUUCCGUUGGCGUCGGCGCUAAUGGUGGCAGCAGCAGCAAGUCUAGGGGCCAGGAAGGGGGAGUAGGAGAG